GAACACCACUAGAUGGGGAUGUUUUCUCACGUUCCUUCUCUGGCUCUGAGGGGCUGAAUUUUCUCACUCAGAUUAGCAGAUGUUGAGCUAUCCAGCUGAUACCAAGAUUGUGUCAAUUCACUUGUGGAUAAAUGAAAAGAUAAUUCUGAAUAACAACAAAACAUUUCAAAGAUAGUACUUUGGCACAAAGGAUGAACGAGAAUUUUAAAGAAAGGAUUCUUCUCAUACAGAUUUGAGGAUCACGGUCUGGCCUGAGAUUUGAGGACCAAGCCUAGAAAGAAGCCCCGUCCUCUCAUCUGCCUCCACCCAAAAACCAGCUGC